rnacentral:rRNA from 1 species
UACGAAGGGGGCUAGCGUUGUUCGGAAUUACUGGGCGUAAAGCGCACGUAGGCGGAUUGUUAAGUUAGGGGUGAAAUCCCUCGGCUCAACCGAGGAACUGCGUCCGAUACUGGCGGGCUCGAAUCCGGGAGAGGGAUGUGGAAUUCCAGGUGUAGCGGUGAAAUGCGUAGAUAUCUGGAGGAACACCGGUGGCGAAGGCGGCUCUCUGGGGCUGUUCUGACGCUGAGGCGCGAAAGCUGGGGGAGCAAACAGGAUUAGAA